UGUGGGCCUGCCCGCCACGCUGCACCCCUAGACCAUGCUGCCUGCUGACUCCUCCACAGUCCUUGUCUGAACUGUGAUCAGGAGACGGCCUGGCAGAGGAACCUGUGUGGCACUGACUGGCGAGUGCUGCAGCUCUCCCUGAAUACACACGUGUGGGGUGUGUGCAGAUGCAGACCCCCAUCCGGGCACGAGGGCCCACGAGUGCUGAGGCAUAGUGCCUGACCUCAAGAAAGUCCCCGUGUGCAAGGCAAGGCCACAGAAGACCCAG
rnacentral:lncRNA from 1 species